CGGGGGGCAGCAGUGGGGAAUUUUGGACAAUGGACGCAAGUCUGAUCCAGCCAUUCCGCGUGCAGGACGAAGGCCUUCGGGUUGUAAACUGCUUUUGUACGGAACGAAAAAGCUCUUAUUAAUACUAGGAGUCCAUGACGGUACCGUAAGAAUAAGCACCGGCUAACUACGUGCCAGCAGCCGCGGUAAUACGUAGGGUGCAAGCGUUAAUCGGAAUUACUGGGCGUAAAGCGUGCGCAGGCGGUUAUAUAAGACAGAUGUGAAAUCCCCGAGCUUAACUUGGGAACUGCAUUUGUGACUGUAUAGCUAGAGUACGGCAGAGGGGGAUGGAAUUCCGCGUGUAGCAGUGAAAUGCGUAGAUAUGCGGAGGAACACCGAUGGCGAAGGCAAUCCCCUGGGCCUGUACUGACGCUCAUGCACGAAAGCGUGGGGAGCAAACAGGAUUAGAUACCCGAGU
rnacentral:rRNA from 1 species